AUGUUAUCAAGAAAGGUGGAGGGAUUAGACCCUUUGAAACCUUAGCAACCCUUAAACUUAUUAAGAAGGUGCUAACUUCUACGUUAUUGUCGAUUCAUUUAUCGCGCAAUUGGAUAGAUAACCA
rnacentral:ncRNA from 2 species